CAUACACUUUUAAAAUAUGUACAAUCACCAUCUGUCACAACUGGUGAAGGCCCAAGUACAUCCACAGAUGUGUGUAUUUGCUCAUGUGAGUGAGUGCAACAUGUUCAUUUAGACAUUCCAGAUGGUAAAUAACCUAAUGUAAAUACUACAUGUAAUGCUAUAUACAAUCUAAUUAAUCAACUUUUUCCUGUUUCAAGAAACAUGUCAACAGUUGGCUCCAUCAUCUUCUUCUGAUGAUGAUAAGAGCACAACAGAUUCCACCUUGUCACUUUUCUCCGAAGCACCAGAUACAGCCGCCUCUGCCCAGCCUUCAGAGCCGCACACACCUGCUGCUGCUGAGACAGAUGAGCCACUUUCGCAGCACAUGAGCACCACACCAGACCACACCAAGUGGUGCACCGCAUCUCUGUUCUCUGCCUCCUGCUCACUGCUGAGUCACCCCACAACCACAAUGUCAUCUGAAAACUUCUGCAGAUGACAGGACUCUGAGUUGUACUGAAAGUCAGAGGUGUUCAGGGGGAAAGACAGUGGAACACAAACACAGUAGGCACUAGAGCCUUGGGGAUGCUUUGCUGAUUCAGGAGGGAAGCUGAUACAAACAUAAAAGCAGAAAAAUUCAUAUUGGCUUCUCAAAGUGUCUCUGUUCUCCCCUGGGCCGAAUCCGACAUCGAUUCUCUCUUUCAGUCUUGCCGAUAGUACAGAAGGUCCCACCACAAGGACCUGCGUAACUGCAGGAGCAAUUCCUUGAACGCAGAACUGUUUUUGGAAUUUUCUUCUUUUGUUCAUAAAGAACCUUGUCCCAUUUCUGGUUCCUGACGGUAAACUGUCGGCCUUUAAAAUUAAGUACUUUUUGAUGGGGUGCAGGCUCAGCUGGCAAAACUGCUGGCAACUUGAUUGAAAAGAAAAACAGCAAGAAGAGCAAAGGAGAGCAGAGAUACAAAAGCUGUUUUUUGAGUUAUAUAACUUUAUAUUACAAAGAAUUGUUAUUCUUAGACUUUUUACAGUCAAACUAAAAGUCAAGUAUGAUAUGAGAUGUACAAAACUGAUAUUUUACUUUUUUAUUUGUCCACAGGUUAACUCAUUAUCACUCAUCAUCAACUCUAAAGUGUGCAUACACACCCACAACACACACACACUUAAUUCCCCUUCUGAGGGCAGAUCAUUACCUCAGCCCACCGCCUGCUGUUCACAUCUCACUGGGUUUCAGCUUAACAGUUACACGGUAUCGAUGUUCAGUACUCUGCGUUAGAGCAUUCAGCAUGUAAAAUCCCCUCUGAAGGCUAUAGAGGGCCAGCUGUCAGGCACAGACCAUGUAGCCACAACACCUCUGGAUUGAAUCUGGCCUGGGGCUUUUGAUGCAUGACAUGCCUCUCUCGCUCUCUCUCUCUCUCUCUCUCUGUAUCCGUGUUUCCUGUCACUCAGCUGUCAUACCGUCCAAUAAAGGCAAAAUAUCCAAAAGCAUUAAUUCACCUGCACUGCUCAGCCUCGGGACCAAUUGGACCACUUCUUUCAACGUCUCUACUAUAAGUGUUCUGCUGAAAGGUUUUAAAGGCUUAAAUAUAUCCCCGCACUAAAGAGGCAUCAUCAAAUUUCAGCAACACCAAGCUAAUGUAGCAGCUGAUCCUUCUGGCUUUGAGCAGCAAGAAACUGUUGCAGCCAAUUAUAACAAUUGUUCUUUCUUGAAAUGACCCGAUUGUCCUUUUAUUAAACUUCACUUACUAGUAAGAUUAACCAGACGCUGUGACUGAUAUUUGAACCUGAAACAACUCAUCAAGUCACCAACUCAGAAACUGCAUCGUCAUCCACGUUGUUGAUCUUGGAUGAUCUGUCAAUCAAAAAAAGCAGCUGAUAGUCCAUUUGUGGCCAAGAUUCACAAUAAACACUGAUUAAGAUUUUAACACGAGUUGCUUCAGACUGCACUAUUUAUGUUUUUGUUUUAAGGGCCACAAAUUACAGCUGAAGACACCACAUCCAUCUCCAGGAUUCAACCUUAACCCCGAUCUUUGUGUCCUGAUGCUACUAUGAUGUACCUGUGUGUAUCUCACUGUGAAUAUUUUAACCAGUGUUAUUAGCUUGCUUCAAAACAAUAAAGCAGCUCCAGAGAUGUUUUCACAAAGAAAAAUGCACCACCUUAUUGCGCUGCUAAUAAUGUAUUUUUUUAUGGCAACGUGCAUCAUCAGUGCAGACAUGCAGUAGAGUCGUAGCUGGAUUAAAAUGUUGCUAAAAUGUUCUUCAAUGGGAGAUCUUUGCACAUCAACAUAAUCAGAGUUUGGGGCUUACUUUUGCUCCACCUUACUCACAAUACUGGUUAAUCAUGUUGGAUUGUAUGCAAACUAUCAAGUUCUUGUAUUUUUUUUCUUUACUGUUUCUGCAGCUGGAAACAUGAACUUACCAGGUAAUUAGAAGAGAAUAAAACAGACGGCUGACAUACUGGUGUGUUAUGGCAUUCAGCAUCUGAGUGUAGCAAAAUGGACAUUUAUUUACAUGAAAAUGUCAUGGAUUAUUACCAUAACAGUGAUUUAAAGCAGGCAUUGAAAUCGAUAACCUAUAAACUAAACAGCUCUGGUAUUAUAAAACACAGGAACCUUCUUGCGGGAGCUCUACCGCUCUCUCACAAUCGAGUAUAAACAAUUGAGGGCAUAAUAUCAACGGGGUGAUGUAAUCACUACGGUGAUGUGAUCCACUUUGUUUCCGCAAGUAACUCACUUAGAGACACAUUACGCAGGAUGGAUGAAUGGACGGAUGGAGGGAUGAAUGGAUGAGGAGGAGAGGAGGCAGGGU